GACGAACGCUGGCGGCGUGCCUAAUACAUGCAAGUAGGACGCAGUUGCGAACGUGAGAGUAACGCGUAGGUAACUACCUAUUAGAGGGGGAUAACUAUUGGAAACGAUAGCUAAUACCGCAUACUAGUAGAUGGACCUGCGUUGUAUUAGCUAGUAGGUAGGGUAAUGGCCUACCUAGGCAACGAUACAUAGCCGAGCUGGGGGGGUGGUCGGCCAACAUGGGGACGGAGAACGGCCCCGACUCCUACGGGGGGCAGCAGUAGGGAAUCUUCGGAAAUGGGGGGAACCCUGACCGAGCAACGCCGGGUGAGUGAAGAAGGUUUUCGGGUCGUAAAGCUCUGUUGUUAAGGAAGCGGUACUUAACCAGAAAGGGACGGCUAACUACGUGCCAGCAGCCGCGGUAAUUC
rnacentral:rRNA from 1 species